UAUCCUGCUUGAAUUCGUUCUAAGAAAUGCACAUAACUUCAUAAUUACCAAACUUUCAUCUGUGAAUAUUAAAUAUUUUAACUAUAGUGUUUUUCUUUCAUUUUCCCUGACUGCAGCCGUCAAAUGUAACACAUCAGCGAGGCAAAACUGACGUCUAUUUGCGAAAAUGUGCUUUGAUGCGCUUGUUUGAAAACUUGUGAUUAAAGCGCCACUCAGCGGUCAAAAGCUGCAAAUGCACUUUGCAGACGCCGCGGCGGCGGUACGAGCGGCGGUAGAAGUAACGUUUUGGAUGUCCACCUACUGUAAAUCACUCAAAUUAGUAGGACAAACUGGCCUCUUCAAUGACGACGAUGAUGAUGUCAACAAGGUUGUCAGAAAAGUGCGGGCAGAGGUCCAGAAUAUUCCAUUGCCUCGUGAAUACGACCUUGGCAGCUUUACGCAUGAAAGGGUCAUUCAAGAUACAAGUCCAACUCUCCUAAGACUUGUCUCCAGUCUUGUGUCCAGGGAAGAAACGGUGACCAAACCAGCACUCACACUUGCUCAAUGCAUCCAGCAGCACAUCAGUAAAAGCUGGAAUCAGACAACUUUGGGGCUAGCUGUAAAACUUCAUCAUAAGUAUGGUAGUUCAGAAUUGGUUCGGAACCUAAAUGAGCAUGGUCUUGUUGUAACAUAUGAUGAGGUCCUCCGGUUCCGGAAGUCAGCUGCCAAAUAUGCCUCAGAUGAUGCAGAUAAGUACCUGCGGGUAUUAGGACUGGAGAGGUGCAUUGGCCCUAUUCACAGUUGGGGUGAUAAUUUUGAUCUUGUAGUCUUCACACCCAAUGGUUGCCGCACAACACAUGCCAUGGCCACUCAGUUUGUGCAGUUGAGUUGCCCAGAUUCAGUUUUAACACUUGCGUUUGGAGUUUUAACGGGGUCCUUGUUGGAUCUUCCGACUUGCGGACCAACCUGGACAUCCCUUCUGCCAUUCUGGCAUGGCCCUAGCGACUUGCAGGGCCUGUCUUGUAUGGUAUGUAUAUACUGAAUAUUUACAUGUUUGGCGUGGUGUGGAGGUGAAGCCCUCUUGGUUAGCCUUGCGUCUGGUGGGCUGACCCGGGUUGCCCAGACUCAGUUUUAACUCUUGCGUCUGGCGAAGUUUUAAUUGGGUCCCCGUUGGAUCUUGCGACUUGCGGACCAACCUGGGCAGCCCUUCUACCAUUCGGCCGUUGCCCUAGCGACUUGCAGUGCCUGUCUUGUAUGGCAUGUAUAUAGUGUAUAUUUGUACAUAGUUCGUUGAUCACACAUGGUGAUGGGCUUAGGUAAUGUCAUCUCAUUGGGUGUCUUAAAGAGCUACCCCAUUAAUAUGUAUCGUACAGUUGCAGGAUCCAAGUUAUGUCAAAUACCCGCAUUGCUUUUUCAUCCAGAAAUGCAUAACAUUCAGCCUAACAAAGGUUCAUUGUUUAUCCAAAAAGCAAUUUUGAAUCUUCAAAAGUGUCAGGAGGGGAUUCAGCCUCUCUACACCCUGAAAACAAUGCAUCAACAUUCACAAGAGCACUCAUGAUUCUGAAAUGUUAGAUUAUUUUGUUUACCAUGAAAAUAGCCUAAAAUUUUGUCCGAAAUUAAUAAAAAAUGUCUAAAUUUAUCCCA
ensembl:lncRNA